rnacentral:rRNA from 1 species
GACUCUCGGCAACGGAUAUCUCGGCUCUCGCCAUCGAUGAAGAACGUAGCCGAAAUGCGAUACUUGGUGUGAAUUGCAGAAUCCCGUGAACCAUCGAGUCUUUGAACGCAAGUUGCGCCGAAGCCGUUAGGCCGAGGGCACGUCUGCCUGGGCGUCA